CAGAGUUGCAAAACUCCCUAACCAUUGUGAACCGUACCUCAACCGUUGCUUCGGCGGGUGGCCCGGGGUCUACCCAGGCCGCGCCCUGGGCCCCAUUCGCGGGGGCCCGCAGCCCGUCAGAGGUCACCAAACUCUGAUAAUUACUGGCCUCUCUGAGUACUUAUACUGAAUAAGUCA
rnacentral:misc_RNA from 1 species